CGCGGCCUAUCAGCUUGUUGGUGAGGUAAUGGCUCACCAAGGCGUCGACGGGUAGCCGGCCUGAGAGGGUGACCGGCCACACUGGGACUGAGACACGGCCCAGACUCCUACGGGAGGCAGCAGUGGGGAAUAUUGCACAAUGGGCGGAAGCCUGAUGCAGCAACGCCGCGUGAGGGAUGACGGCCUUCGGGUUGUAAACCUCUUUUAGCAGGGAAGAAGCGAAAGUGACGGUACCUGCAGAAAAAGCGCCGGCUAACUACGUGCCAGCAGCCGCGGUAAUACGUAGGGCGCAAGCGUUAUCCGGAAUUAUUGGGCGUAAAGAGCUCGUAGGCGGUUUGUCGCGUCUGCUGUGAAAACCCGAGGCUCAACCUCGGGCCUGCAGUGGGUACGGGCAGACUAGAGUGCGGUAGGGGAGAUUGGAAUUCCUGGUGUAGCGGUGGAAUGCGCAGAUAUCAGGAGGAACACCGAUGGCGAAGGCAGAUCUCUGGGCCGUAACUGACGCUGAGGAGCGAAAGGGUGGGGAGCAAACAGGCUUAGGUACCCUGGUAGUCCACCCCGUAAACGUUGGGAACUAGUUGUGGGGUCCAUUCCACGGGUUCCGUGACGCAGCUAACGCAUUAAGUUCCCCGCCUGGGGAGUACGG
rnacentral:rRNA from 1 species